ensembl:lincRNA Gm10637 predicted gene 10637
AGCAGCUUGGCCCCUUCUCCUGUGCUUCGCUUAGAUCUUUAAGAUGUCCCCAGCAAAGCAGAUAGAAGCAGCCACACUGGGACAGACAAGCUGGGUGGCCCGGAGCUCAGCCAUUAGGCUCUGGUGGGGGUAGAUGGAAGGCGGAGACUUUUCCCCACCUACAAUCUGAGGAUCUGCUCUGCACACAGCUCAAGGAAGCUAACAGGCUUGCAGGGCUGUCUGGGGUUGAGCUGUCAAGGCCAGGGUGUCUGGGAUUAGCCUGGGAAGGACCUUGUAUCUGCAACUCUUCAGCUGUUGUUUCCUGUUCUGUGGAUCGGUGCCAAGGCUCUGGAUGUGGAGAGCAUUCUGAUGACUCCGUAAUGAAACUCCAAGAUCCACUGGAGAGAAGAAAGGGUGGUCAGAAGGCAAUGAGACAUUCCCCUCCCAUCCAAACACCUGCUGUCUCUAGCUGUAUCUUUGGGUAAGAUGUACUCACACCUGGGUCUCUCUCCCCACCCAUAAGAAGAAGCAAGAGGAAUAGCCUAGGAUUUGCCAGGAGAGGUUCUCACUCCAAACUUGUAUUCUGAGAACUCUGCUUAGUCUAGUCUUGUGAUAUCUGCACUAGCUACCUUCUUACAGCAUAAGGAGACCCCAGGCUUUUUGAAAGAAAAGAAGAUCUGAUGCCCCUGGGUCCACAUUCUUUAUAUGAUAACCAAGAGCUGCAGCUAGGAGUGACUGGAGAAGAGGAGCAGGUGCCCUCCAGUUUACCCCAGCCCUGUAGGUUAUUUGUGAAACAUGUGAGAGCUGUUAGUCUCUCUUAGAUGCUGGUAUGUCUCUUGUUUAGUGUGUGGUGCCUCUGAUCACAGUUUGUCCAUGCUGAGCCUUGCCAGCCCAUCUCAAGGGGGUUUGCUGAGUACUCCUGCACCUCUGCUAAGCACUGAGGAAUGCACAGGGGAGGGGGGGUGUAGAAAACAUGGUCUGUAACUCAGAGAACUCUGGCUUCAUGUCCACGGCUGGGAGGACUGGUUGGGUGAGAAUUUGUGACAUCAGAUAUAGCCUGUCCGCCUGGGGAGAGAAGAAGAACUGAAGCCAUCAUGCCUACACAACCGUGAGGCUUGGGAAGCAUGUGUUCCCUGAUGACUUCCUGUCACAACUUUGAGACCGUAGCCUGGGAGAACAGUAUUAUUUCCAGAUGUUCACGGAUGCCUGGGCUUUUCUGUUGAUUAUAUUUUUAACAUUCAGCACAGAUCCAACCACCAUUCUAAAGCUUGGCAUCCUCCCCUCUGGAUGCAUGAACUGCCUAGCCAUGGUCACUGGCCCUGUGCCUUAGGAAACAGCCCUAGUUCACAGCCAAGGAAGGUAGAGACUGACUGGGUUGAAGACACAGCAAAGACCCCUCUGGAUCGCUAUAACUCUUAAUCCAUGUGCCCUGUGUGUUAGCACCAGCCAGUACUGAUGUCAAGAGCAUGUCCUGUAUCCUUGCCAUCCUAUGGUCCAGCUGGCAUCCUACUUUUAACCUUGUAUUACUGGGAAAUAUAUGGGGCAGGGAUACCCCUUGUUUUCUCGCCUACCAGGACUGGGCUGGGAUUGUUUCCUGAAUCUUUUGCUCAAGCCCCUUCUAUGAGCAAACCUAUAUCCUUCUGCUAGAUCUUAAAAUUAUAGAUUAGUGUUUUCUGCUGUGAGUAUGAGGCCAGUUAUCUCCAUCUGUACCUUGGGGCUGGUCAGAGUCAUUUUGACUGACAGCCUACCAGUACUGUAUGAUCUAGCUGAUUCUAACAGAUUGCAAUGUGCAACUUGGGCCUGGGUCUGUAGAUCUAACAGCACAGACUACCCCCACCCCUGAGAACAAGUCCCUGCUCUUCUUUGGGAUUCCACACCAAAGGUCCAAAGCCUGUUGCACCCCAGUGACUGCCACAAAGGCUCGGACUUGGAUAUGACUGAUGGGCCCAGCUGGCUGCUAGGACACACAGCGAGCCCACCAUGUCUCACCGGCAAGCUUGAUGCUUCUCUUGCAGUGAGAGCCACCCUGGUUAACAGCAAUAAAUCUCCUCCAACUUCCGUGGCAGACGGUUGGCUUGCUUCCUUUGGCUUUAGCAUAAAGAGGAAAUGUAAACCCAACACAAUCUGGAGUUCAAGGAAUUUAUCAGACUCAAAGGCUGGGAGUCUUCAAACUGGAUAUGACCAGGAGCCAGACUCUGCAGAAGACUGCAGGUCACUCAGUUCCUGGAAGGUCAGGCUCAGCUAGAGCUGGGUCACCUUUCACUUGUCCUCCUGACCCAUUCUUCACUCCUGACCGUAUGUCUCCAUCUCCACUUAGAUGUGUGGUGUCCCAUGUUACUGGGCCCUAAUAUCACCCUGAGCUGUCUUCCUCCGGGCCUCAGACACCAGGUCUUUUCUCUCUUAUCCCCACACCCAGAUGACCGGUCCCCUUUAGAAGACAUAGACUCACAUCUAGCUUUAUGUUACACUGGAUUAUGUAGCCCUUACUGUGCAGAAAGCCAUGCUUUCCCCAUCAUUUCCUACCCUUCCCACAGAAUGCAGACCCAGUACCAUUUUUAGACAGGCUAAGGUAGGGUAAGAUGGGGAGGUUUCAAGCCAGGGACUGGAAGGGACAAUAGAGGACACGAAGCUAAGCUCUCACCCACUGUGUUACCCUGAGCAGGUUGUGGACGUGCCCUUCUGCAUUUGUCUUUAUGGUUGCUGUUUGUUUUCUUUGUUUUGACCACGAUUGGUUCUCACUAGGUAACCCAGGCUGGUCCCAAGCUCACAUGUUUUCCUGACUCUAUCUCCCAAACACUGAGAUUCCAGAUGUGUACCACCACAGGGCAUGCUGCAUUCUGCUGAACAAGUGAAAAAAAAUGAAUGAAUGAAUGAAUGAAUGAAUGAAGGCAAUCCCAUGGCAGCAUAAUAGGAGCACUAGUCUGAUGGCUUGGGAGGAGAAAUGCAGCACCAAGUAUCAGGACCCAAACAUCCCCAUGAGCUCCUCCUGUACUUGCACCUGGUCCCAGGCAGUGCUGCUACUCGGGAGGUUAAGGAACCCUAUGGAGCACAGCCUUACUGAGGGAAGUACAUCACUGGGGGCAGGCUCUGAGGGCUUAUAGCCUUGACCUACUUCCUGUUCUCUCGUGGCUUCCUGUAUGAAGGGAAAAGGCGAUCUCUCAACUUCCUGCUGAAACGCCAUGUAUUACCUGUGAUUAUAGACUCUCUUUGAGUGGCUUUUGCUCACGGCAUUUCAUCUCAGCAACAGUAAAGCU